ACGGGGCCCGCACAAGCGGUGGAGUAUGUGGUUUAAUUCGAUGCAACGCGAAGAACCUUACCUGGUCUUGACAUCCCGGAGACCCUUAGGAACUAGGGGUGCUUCCAUCUGGAAGAAUCUGGAGACAGGUGCUGCAUGGCUGUCGUCAGCUCGUGUCGUGAGAUGUUGGGUUAAGUCCCGCAACGAGCGCAACCCUUGCCUUUAGUUGCCAGCAGUUCGGCUGGGCACUCUAAAGGGACUGCCGGUGUUAAACCGGAGGAAGGUGGGGAUGACGUCAAGUCCUCAUGGCCUUUAUGACCAGGGCUACACACGUACUACAAUGGCCGAUACAAAGGGCAGCGACACUGCGAGGUGAAGCCAAUCCCGUAAAAUCGGUCUCAGUCCGGAUUGGAGUCUGCAACUCGACUCCAUGAAGUUGGAAUCGCUAGUAAUCGUGGAUCAGCAUGCCACGGUGAAUACGUUCCCGGGCCUU
rnacentral:rRNA from 1 species